rnacentral:lncRNA from 12 species
UCUGGAUUUUGACCUUGUUUCUCUUGGAUUCCUGACUUCAUUUUCCUGGAUUUUUAACCUUAAUUUCUGAAUUUUUGACCUUGUUUCUCUUGGAUUCCUGACCUCAUUUUGCUGGAUUUUUGACCUUAAUUUCUGGAUUUUGACCUCAAUUCCCCUUACUUUUCAACCUCAUUCCCCCUAACCCCCUCCCCUUACUCCCCACAACUCCGCCCCUUAUUCCCCUGUCUUUUCAACCUCAAUCCUCCACAUUCCCAUUUAAUUUUUCAUUUUUUCUUCCAAUCCCACCCCACCCCAGGUUCCUCCAGGACCAAACCAGCCCCGCCUUCAAAUUCUACCGCAUGAAAGUUUACGAGCUCUGCCCCUCCAUCACCUUCAACCCCGAAAUCACCAAACCCUCGCAGAGAACCCCGGAGCUCUCCGAGGAGGAGGAAGAAGAGGAAGAAGACGACGAAGACGAAGAAGAAGCAGCAGACUUGGAACCCCCCCAAGCUGCAGGGGAGGAGGAUGAGGAUGAUGUGGCAGCAGGCUCCCGGCGCGCCCUUCCCCCGCAAGAGGGUCAGCAGCAAAUCCCUCAAGGUGGGCAUGAUCCCGGCCUCCAAAAGGAUCUGCCUCAUUGAGGAGCCCAAAGGUCAGUUUGGGAUAGAAAAACGGAGAAUUUGGGAAAAAAUUCCCAGUUUUUACCUUUUUUUCCUGCUUAAAAAUCGCAUUUUUUCGUAUAAAAACGAGCGCGAAAUUGGCUUUAAAUCUGCAUUCAAGUGGUAAAAGAGAAGAUGAAUAGAAGAGGUCAAUGGAUCUCAAUGGGUCAAAUAUUUCACUUUUAUACUGAAAUCAAAGAGGGUUUGGGUGAAAAUCCCAAAUUUUAGGUGUUUCCUCACUAAAAAAAUGGC